AACGUAGGUGGCAAGCGUUAUCCGGACUUUACUUGGGCGUAAAGCGUGUGCAGGCUGUUCACCAAGUGGUGUAAUGAAAGGCGCUCGGCUCAACCGGGCAGGGUAUGCCAGACUGGUGGACUAGAGACUGACAGAGGGUGGUGGAAUCCGGGUGUAGUGGUGAAAUGCGUAGAGAUCCGGAGGAACCCCAGAGCGAAGGCGG
rnacentral:rRNA from 1 species